rnacentral:rRNA from 1 species
GGAAGCUCGCUUCAAGAUGAGAUUUCCAUACACCUCGUGUGUGAGAGGCCCCCAGCCAGACCACUGGGUUGAUAGGCCGGAUGUGGAAGCGAGGACUAACGACUCGUGAAGCUGACCGGUACUAAUAGGCCAACAACUUACACCACA